UUAGUUGAAGCCAAAACAGAGGCAUUUCAUUGUUAAUGAAAAAAAUGAUAUACUUAUCCAACUAAA
rnacentral:tRNA from 1 species